AUUUCCAUUAUUUACUAUAUUAACAUUCUUUUCCAUUGUCUUCAUUUCAACCCUUUUUUGCUUUAUUUCUCUCCUCCCAUCUGUUGUGCUAUUAUUGACAUAUACUAGUUACCUGGUCUGAUGAAAAAAAAAUAUAUACAGUUACCUGACAAACACUUGUGUGUCAGAAGCUGAAGAUGGAAAGUGGGAUGGUGGAAUUAGAAGAAGAACUAUACCAUUCAGUGCGACGACCUUUUUUAAUAUGUUAUCUUCCCUUACUAGUGAGGCUUGCAAAGUAUUGUGUUUGACUAGGGACGUAAUUUAAAAAAUAAAGAAGACCUUUGACAUGUAAGGCAAAUACACACACACACACACACAUAUAUGUAUAUAAUGUGUGUGUGUGAAGUACCAAAUUUAUCCCGGUGAGAGUUCCACAUCUUUUUUCAUUUUCUUUCUCCUUCUAUAUAAACGGAUGAACUUUUAUGCCAAGGGGUUAAAUGGAGAUGAUAAGAUUAAAUAAUUUCCAAGAAGAGUAUGAUGUCAUUCUUUUUGGGAGGACAAUGUGUCACAUAAAAUGGAACAGAGGAAGUAUUAUAUAUAAGGCCUUCUCAGAAUGGUUGUGACCUUACUAUGGGGGUUAACUGUUAUUUUUGUAAUGAAAUCGCAUUAAUCUAGAUUUUGUGAUGAAAGGAUACUGGUAUCUUCCAAUAUUAAUUGCCUAGUAAGAAAAUAGUCCUUUCUCUUUUCUAUAUUUUUGAACUUUAAUGGGCAUCAUGAUGAUUGAAUGAAUACUGCCGUUGACCAUCAUUCUUAAAGCAGCAGCCAUUAAUUUGUCAAAAGAGAAACCACG